AACGAACGCUGGCGGCAGGCUCAACACAUGCAAGUCGAACGAGAUCUUCGGAUCUAGUGGCAGACGGGUGAGGAACACGUGGGAACAUCCCUUUCAGUUCGGAAUAACGUUGGGAAACUAACGCUAAUACCGGAUACGUCCUUCGGGAGAAAGAUUUAUCGCUGAAAGAUUGGCCCGCGUCUGAUUAGCUAGUUGGUGAGGUAAUGGCUCACCAAGGCUACGAUCAGUAGCUGAUCUGAGAGGAUGAUCAGCCACAUUGGGACUGAGACACGGCCCAAACUCCUACGGGAGGCAGCAGUGGGGAAUAUUGGGCAAUGGGCGCAAGCCUGAUCCAGCCAUGCCGCGUGAGUGAUGACGGCCUUCGGGCUGUAAAGCUCUUUUGUCCGGGAAGAUAAUGACUGUACCGGAAGAAUAAGCCCCGGCAAACUUCGUGCCAGCCGCCGCGGUAA
rnacentral:rRNA from 1 species